rnacentral:rRNA from 1 species
UACGAAGGGGACUAGCGUUGUUCGGAAUUACUGGGCGUAAAGCGCACGUAGGCGGAUUAGUAAGUCAGGGGUGAAAUCCCGGGGCUCAACCUCGGAACUGCCUUUGAUACUGCAAAUCUCGAGUCCGAUAGAGGUGGGUGGAAUUCCUAGUGUAGAGGUGAAAUUCGUAGAUAUUAGGAAGAACACCGGUGGCGAAGGCGGCCCACUGGAUCGGUACUGACGCUGAGGUGCGAAAGCGUGGGGAGCAAACAGG